UAAAGAUUUUAUUGGAAGAAAGAGACGUGAGUCUUUGAAGAAGUUUGUCCAGCGGCAGUUCGUUAAAGUGAUGAAAGAUAGAAUAUCGAUUCAGGAUUUCAUCUUUGCUAAGGAAUAUCGUGACGUCAUUUGUCACGUGAUCGUCGCACGGAACCUCGCAUGGGAAAACGUGUAUCUUACGUCAUUGUUAACGGCAGUCCUGAACUACCAUUGAUUCAAUUGGUUAAAGAUCCUAUUGAUGUGUUAAAUGAUAAAUAUCUACGCCUCAAUACCAUCUACUAUGUUCAGAAACAAAUACUUCCUCCAUUGGAUCGAGUUUUUUCCUUGAUUGGUGUUGAUGUGUUUUCAUGGUAUACACAACUACCCCGCUAUAUCCCUCGACAUCGUUUUAUUGCAAGGAAACAAAAAGUUAGUUGUCAUAAGUACAUUCAUGAAUUGAUGUAAAAGCUAAAUUAAUUUAUUUGAACAAAUUUUAGCGUUCGA